rnacentral:other from 1 species
AGGAUUUGAAAUCUUCCCACUGAUUUUGAAUUAACAGACUUACCCCCCCUGAGUUAACUAAAGAAUUGCUGUGUGUAGUCUUUGCCCAUCCCCUGUGAUGGGCUUUUUUUU